CCACACCCAUCUAGGGAUAAGGAGCCGAUAUCAGGCACAAUAUUUGCCCAAAACAUCUAGCCACACCACACCCACAAGGGUUCCCAGCAGUGAUUAACAUUAAACAUAAACGUCAGUUUGACUUAGCCAAUGAAAAUAGAGCCGGCCAAUCUGGUGCCAGCCGCCGCGGUUACACCACGUGGCUCAAAUUGAUUUUAGUACGGCGUAAAGCGUGGUUAAAGAAACAAACUAAUGGGGUUAAACCUGAANUAAGCCGUAGUACGCUUGUUCACAAGAAAACCUCACCUCGAAAGAUACCCCAACCCACCAACUUGAACCCACGAUAACUGGGACACAAACUGGGAUUAGAUACCCCACUAUGCCCAGUCACAAACUUUAACUUACACCUCUAUCGCCAGGGAACUACGAGCAAAGCUUAAAACCCAAAGGACUUGACGGUACCCCACAUCCCCCUAGAGGAGCCUGUCCUAUAACCGAUACCCCCCGUUAAACCUCACCACUUUUAGUUUAUCAGCCAGUAUACUUCCGUCGCCAGCUUACCGCGUGAGCGAAUAAGUAAGCUAAAUGUCCCCAUCAACACGUCAGGUCAAAGUGCAGCUAAUAAGGUGGCAAGAGAUGGGCUACACUUUCUAUAUUAGAAGACACGAAAGACUACAUGAAACUGUAGUCAGAAGGUGGAUUUAGAAGUAAGAUGAGAAUAGAGUAUUCUUCUUAACUCGGCACUGGGGUGUGUACACACCGCCCGUCACCCUCUUCACUGGAAUUACAUAGUA
rnacentral:rRNA from 1 species